GAUGAAGAACUCAGCGAAAUGCGAUAAGUAAUGUGAAUUGCAGAAUUCAGUGAAUCAUCGAAUCUUUGAACGCACAUUGCGCCCGCCAGUAUUCUGGCGGGCAUGCCUGUUCGAGCGUCAUUUCAACCAUCAAGCCCCCCGGCUUGUGUUGGGGACCUGCGGCUGCCGCAGGCCCUGAAAAGCAGUGGCGGGCUCGCUGUCACACCGAGCGUAGUAGAUCUCAUCUCGCUCAGGGCGUGCUGCGGGUUCCGGCCGUUAAACCACCUUCAUAACCCAAGGUUGACCUCGGAUCAGGUAGGAAGACCCGCUGAACUUAAGCAUAUCAAUAAGCGGAGGA
rnacentral:misc_RNA from 1 species